rnacentral:rRNA from 1 species
AUUGAACGCUGGCGGCAGGCUUAACACAUGCAAGUCGAACGAGUGGCGGACGGGUGAGUAAUGCUUGGGAAUCUAGCUUAUGGAGGGGGAUAACUACGGGAAACUGUAGCUAAUACCGCGUACCAUAGGAUGAGCCCAAGUGGGAUUAGGUAGUUGGUGAGGUAAAGGCUCACCAAGCCGACGAUGUCUAGCUGGGGUGAGAGGAGGACCUGCCACGCUGGGACUGAUCCACGGCCCAGACUCGUACGGGAGGCAGCAGUGGGGAAUAUUGCGCAAUGGGGGCAACCUGGUGCAGCCAUGCCGCGUGAAUGAAGAAGGCCUUCGGUUUGUAAAGUUCUUUCGGUAGCGAGGCGUUAACUACAGAAGAAGCCCCGGCUAACUCAGUGCCAGCCGCCGCGGUAAUAC